UACGAAGGGUGCUAGCGUUGUUCGGAAUCACUGGGCGUAAAGGGUGCGUAGGCGGCUAGACAAGUCAGGGAUGAAAGCCUGGAGCUUAACUCCAGAACUGCCCUUGAAACUGUCUGGCUAGAGUGUCGGAGGGGAUAGCGGAAUUUCUAAUGUAGCGGUGAAAUGCGUAGAUAUUAGAAGGAACACCGGUGGCGAAGGCGGCUAUCUGGACGACAACUGACGCUGAGGCACGAAAGCGUGGGGAGCAAACAGG
rnacentral:rRNA from 1 species